rnacentral:rRNA from 1 species
AACGAACGCUGGCGGCAUGCCUAACACAUGCAAGUCGAACGAGCCCUUCGGGUCUAGUGGCGCACGGGUGCGUAACGCGUGGGAACCUGCCCUUAGGUUCGGAAUAACUCCCCGAAAGGGGUGCUAAUAACGGAUAAUGUCUUCGGACCAAAGAUUUAUCGCCUUUGGAUGGGCCCGCGUUGGAUUAGCUAGUUGGUAGGGUAAAAGCCUACCAAGGCGACGAUCCAUAGCUGGUCUGAGAGGAUGAUCAGCCACACUGGGACUGAGACACGGCCCAGACUCCUACGGGAAGCAGCAGUGGGGAAUAUUGGACAAUGGGCGAAAGCCUGAUCCAGCAAUGCCGCGUGAGUGAUGAAGGCCUUAGGGUUGUAAAGCUCUUUUACCCGGGAUGAUAAUGACAGUACCGGGAGAAUAAGCUCCGGCUAACUCCGUG